UUUUUUUUUUUUUACUUUAAGCAACAGUAUUUUCCCAAACUGUAGCAUUAAAAACAAACACAUGAUAGGCAUAUUGGCACAUACCGUAACAUAAUCGUGUGAUGCAAUGCUGCAUAAGCACAUAUCAAAAUGUAAGAUUGUGUAAAAAUAAGUGGGUAUGCACAGACACACACACACACACACACACACACAACUACAAAUGCAUAAUGUAGUUUCCAGCUACAUAAACUUAUUUGCCUUUGGCAUCUGGCAGUAAGCUGACGUUGUAAUAAACUUGUUAUUAAAUUGACCUAUCAGCUUAUAAACUGGUACAUGGAUACCACAAAGAAGGUCUGCCUAACAUCUAUUCGGGAGGCUGCCUAUCUAAUACUCAUUCUCCCCUACUCCUUAAUGAUAAAGCCCCAAUUUCCUUUGAAGUGUACCAGUGUGCCCAGUUGGUUCUACGUUUCACAGCUUCCCUUGCAGCUACGUGAGGAAAGGUCCGUGAGUUCUGGCCAAUGAAAGGAAAGCAGAGGUCAGUGACUAAGAUGUCCGAGAAUUCCUUAGGUAAUGACAGAAGACUGGAACUCUUUUGCUCCUCACCUCUCUUCUUCCUGCCUGAAACAUAGAAAUACAUGGCUGGAGAUUCACCUGCUGUCUUUCAUCUUGGAGAUGAAAGCCCAUUUACUACAAAUGAAAGAAAAGAAAGACAGAAAAGACCUGGGUCCCUAAUAAAAUCCGGGGGCUACCACACCAUUUUUGGCAUUCCUUACCAUACCCAUGUUAAAGGGCCUAUUUCUGUUCUUUGGUCUUAGAGAAAAAAAUAACCCCUAAUUGGUUUAUAUGCUACCUAAUUUAGUAUGUAUAAAGGAUACCACAUUAAAAGUCAAAAUAAUCAUCUUAGAGCCCAUUAAUGGUGAAUAAAUUAAUAUAAUUCUGACUUUGCCUUAAUAAAAGUUGACUUGCCUUCAACAUUUGUCAUAAAAAGAAGCACAAGAUCUUUCAGACUCCAUGAUUUGGAAGGAUUUUAUCUGGCAAAAACCAUCUAAAUCUGGGGUUAAUGAGGUUCAUGUUGAUGAGAAUUGAACUCUAGCUGUUAAGUAAAUAAUAACACCAGUAGUGAUUUAGAGCCUUUCAUCCCUAAAAUUUGUAGCAAAUUGCAAACAGCCCUGUGGGGUGGGUAAAAUUACUGGCAUAAUUUUAUUGAUAGAGAAACUGAGUCAUCAAGUCAUUAAAUAGCCUGGGGUCUAUUUAGUGAAUAGCAACAUCAGUGGAGAUUGCAAUGAGCUUCUCAGGCCAUCAAAGAGUAUUCUUGAAGGGUCAGCAUUUCAUGGAAAGUUUACAAUAUGCCCUCCUCACCCCCAUCAUUAUCCAAAAAAAAAAAAAAAAAUUGUGCAUGUGCUUUGAAGCAAGCAGCCUAGGCUUCUCAGUUCUUAGAACCAGUGACUCCCUCAAAUGCAAAGAUCUUGUCUGAAAUUGUUCUUUUUUUAUCAUUUUUCUCUUAAUCUAGCACAGUUCUGGGCACGUGCCAGAUACCCAAUAAAUGUUUGCUGAAAAAAGAACAAUUUCCUAAAAUCAUCCUGUGGGGCACGCUGCUGUUGAAAGUCAACACUCACUUUGAAGCAACACUAUCCCCGCAUUAGGAGCAGCGGCUUCCCGUUCUCUCCAUUAUGCCCCCAGUUGUCCCUCCCGAGGCCUACACUUCGCAUGCUCAUGAGGCCUUUGCCACUUCUAGAUUCAAGCCACCUCUGAAAAUCCAUCUUCCCUCUUGAUUCAUUUUUCAGCAUGAACAAGGAAAUGGUUUGAUGAUAGAAUGAUAAUUGAUGGUUAUGAUAUCUGAUGCUGUAUAAAAGGUUUGAUUUCAUGGCUGCAUAACUGUUUACAAAACAUCACAUGCGCAAAAAAAAAAAAAAAAAAAAAAUGUCCUGAGUAAUGAAUGUCCUUGCUAGAAUACUCUAUUUCCAGAAGAGAGCUGUACUGCCCACAGAGACGGAUGGGCAACUUUUAAAUUAGUAAGAGCCAAAAUGUCUGUUCUCCCCUUGCAGGCUUUUGUUAUGAAUGGUCAGCAUCUGGACAUCUCUUCUUUGCCUCUGCCCUCCAGGCCAUCUUGGCUACUUGUCUUAAACUUGGGCACUUUGACAGGGUGUUUGAUGGAGGUGGCCCUGAGGCGAAAGGCUGGUUUUAUUGAAUCAAAUGCUAUAGCUUCGCUGAAGACCUUUCAUCCAACACCAUUGAGGGCCUUCGAGGUCCUCGUUUACAGCAGGUGGAUGAAGUGAACUUCCCAUGGUCACUUAGCAAGUCAAGGGCCAGGCAGGGCAUUCCAUAAUCAAGCCCAAUGGCCGUGAAACCUCCUUUCCUGUGAUUUGUCAUGCACACUCAGUGUUUCUCAAAUGGCAGUCAGGAAUUAUCCAUCCAAAGAGGUUUCUGGGAAAGCAGGGGGUCUGAGGAAUAAAGUUAUGGGAGGACAAAUGAACCUCUGCUAGGGAGACAGGCCCAAGAUUUGAUUCCAGCUUCUCUAAAUGAGGAAGAAAACCAUCUUAACGAACAUUCUUUCCCAUUUUCAGCCUGUUUUAAAAGUCACUGUAUUCUUGUACCUCUCAGUCUAGACUCAGAUAAGGAAAAAGUAUAACAUCAGGUCAAAAAGGAAGCAUUCCUUUCCCUGACAUGAAAGCCAGGCCCCCUGUGUUGAACAACUGCCACAUUCAAAAGUCACCCUUCCCCACGACAUCCAUCUCCCAUACACAAGGCACCCAGAAAUGUCAGCUAGACAGGAACAGUUGAAAUCCUUGUGGAGAAUAUUCACUUCAUUUCUAAGAUAGAAGUUAUUUUUGCUCAAAGGGAGGGGGAGAACACAGAGGAGAGGUUAUUUACAGAAAUUAGUUGCAGGGAGAAAAAAAAUAUGACUCUAAAUGGAAAGAUUAUCAACAUAGAAAGAUGUGUUAAAGCCUAAUAAGAAAGACAUGCUGCACACAGUAUAUCUGAAUAUAACCAUUAACAGCAUGGAAGAGAGGCUGUUUACUGUAUUAAAGCUACCUUUACUGGUUGUAUAAAAACAAAAAAAGGAUUGUAUUGGGGCCAUCACACUCCCAUCUUUUCAAUUACAGAGAUAGAACAAUCUCAGAUUCCGAAGCUAACUACAAAUCAAAAUUGUGUUAUGUUAUCUGCUGAGACACAAAUGGAAAAUAAAUACUGUUAACUGUCACUUUCCAUUAGGUAACAGAAAUUCAAUUACAUUUCAAACAAGCCUUCAUGUCAACAGAAUAAAUCUGUUUCAUAAAUGAGCAGGUAACCAUUUUUGAUUCCAACUUCCCAAAGGGAAAAAAUCAAUUUUAAUCACAAUUCUUCAAUUUUUUUUCCAUAUGAAUGUUUUGGAGUCGAGUACAUCAUCUGGUCUAAUAAACAGUGUUGUACAGAAAAAGGGGGAAUAAGCUGAAAUUGGUUACUGUUCAUUUCUGGUGCCUUUUAAACCGGGGACUCGUCAUGUCGGACGUAACUGAGCUCUGCAUUGCUCAGAUGCUUUCACUUUAAAAGCUAAUGCCAGAAAGGGGGGAAAACGUGCAAAGGGAAUUCUUCCUGCAGUGGAGUUCAUCCCAAUAAGAAAUGUGUAUGAGAAUACAAGCUCCUUUCAUGGUAGACCUUGAGAGGGGACACCCUCCCCAAACCCCCAUCCUAAUUCCCUUGAAGUGGAAGGAGAAUCUGGAAAGACAAGUUUCCAUUCUAGAAGAUUCGGUCAACCAGAGGACAGGCUGACAAAUCCAGGAUGACUGGGAGAGCUUGAAGUAAAUUGCUCACUCAGUACAACAUAUUUUGAUCUAAUAAAUACUUGCUGGUUACUGGCUUGUUGCAAUGGGGCAGCCUUUUGGAGGGGAGCUUUAUACGACUUGUUUGACUUUUGGUGAAUGCUGAAGGAUACAGUUUCCCACCAAUGAGCCCCCAAAAUUAUUAGAAUUUGUUCAAGGACAGAGUACUCCCAAUAACUAUGACCCAGGCACUACUCUAAGCACUGUGCCAUUAUUCAUUUAAUCCUCACCAGCCGCUCUGUGAGACAGGUCUUAGUUUUAUCUCCAUAAGAGAAUGGAGGCAUGGAGAGGUAACAUUAGCUGGCACUUUAGGUGAGUUGGUAUUCAAAUCCAGGUGGCCUAGCUCCAGAGUCUGAACUUAAAUCCUCUCUCCACGAGGCUUCCAGGUUCAACCGUCCUGGGUUUAGCAGUGCUUUAAGUGUUGAAAUAGGUGACCAUUUGAUCCCUCUUUUUUAAGAUUUUAUUUAUUUAUUCAUGAGAGAUAGAGAGAGAGAGGCAGAGACAUAAGCAGAGGGAGAAGCAGGCUCCAUGCAAGGAGCCCAAUGUGGGACUCGAUCCUGGGACUCCAGGAUCACGUCCUGAGCCAAAGGCAGACGCGUAACUGCUGAGCCACCCAGGUGUCCCAACCAUUUGAUUCCUUGACUAAAUUAGAACACUUUUCAGAGUGAAAGAGGGUCCUACAAUAAUUGUGCCAAAACUCAGGAGCAAACUGGAACUGUCUUAGGCAAAUAGGGAAACGAAGUCCCCUAAAUUAUAAAGAAGAUGUACAUCUAAUAGUGCUUGAAUAAUAAAAAUAAAACCUAAACAAAAGUCAUGUGUUACUGGCUUUUAAGAAAGGAUAGAGGAGAAUGGUGAGUAGACCCACUCAAUCAAGAAAAAAAAAAUUUAAGAUUUUAUUUAUUUAUUCAUGAGAGACACACAGGAGAGAGAGAGAGAGAGAGAGAGAGAGGCAGAGGGAGAAGCCGGCUCCAUGCAGGGAGCCAGACGUGGGACUCGAUCCCGGGUCUCCGGGAUCAUGCCCUGGGCUGAAGGUGGUGCUAAACCACUGAGCCACUCAGGCUGCCCUCAAGAAAAUAUUAUUAAGCACCUGCUAUAUAUCAAAUAGUGCACCAGGUGCCAAAAUUGUAGCUAAGAAUAAGUCAGAGGAAGUCCUUACCCUCUUGAAGCUUACAUUCCGGUAGGUUGUGGUGAAGCUCAAAAUCAAUUAAAUGACACAAUAUACCUAAGAAUUGUUGUUUGAGAGCACUCUAAAGUGGAAUACAUAUACAUCAUACUGUCACUAAGAAGUGGGGCAUUAUGGUAGAAAGUACACAUAUUUGGGAGUGAAAUAGACUUAGAUUGUAAUUUGGCCUUUACCACUUAAUAUCUGUGUGACUUUGGGCACAUUAUUAACCACUCUGCGUCUCCACUUCUCUAUCUAUAAAAUGUGAAUAUCUUCUUUGCAAAGCAGUAGUAAGAAUGUUACAUAAUGUGUGCUACAUGCCCAGCACACUGUUUGUCAUUGUCAGGUGGUCUUAUCAUUAUUGGGACGUCUGGGUCCUCAUGCCCUGAGUAGAUUCACAAUCCAACAGAUGUAUAGAAUUUAAAGGAUAGUUAGCUGACUGAAUUUGUACAACAUUUAAAGGUGACCUGAAGGGAAUAAGCAUAGUGAAAUCAGGGAUAUGUCUUCAUCCUAUGAAAGAAAUCUGAAUGACACCAGACAGAGAAGGUGAGGAAGAGUCAGUACCCAUAAGAGAAAAGAAUCCACAAGAACAGAUGACUAGAAGGGAACAAGGUCAUAUGCUCAUUGGGCUCUUGGUGGGGUCACAGAUUUACCCCCAGACCAUGAUCAACAUAGUGAACAUCCAGAAAUGAGUUCCUUAUCCAUAAAUUCUGAGUGAUCACCCAGGCCAGAGGAUAGCAAACUUCUGAAAAGGGCUCAAUAGUUAAGAGCUUAGUCUUUGCAAGCCGCACAGUCUCUGUUGCAACUACUCAAAUCUGUUAUUGUAGCACAAAAGCAGUCAAAGACAAUAAAUGUAAGAUCUGGCAGUAUCAUCUCUGAAAACUAGGAUUGUAUCUUACCAUCAUUAUCUCCCCAACACCUAACUCAGUGCUCAGUAAAACUCAUUGAAUGAAUAAUUUGAAUGAAUGAAUGAAUGAAUGAAUGAAUGAGUUGAAGGUCCCAGUAGCACCAUUUUGAGUAGUAACUGGCAUUUCCAGGAUAAUGAUGGAGGGAAGAAAAAGAAAGAAGAGUCACCAGGACUUAGCACUAGCAAUAGAAAGGUGAGUGUGAGCCAGACUCUAGGAAGCAGGAAAGUAGCAAAUGUUUUUGAGGAAGGGUAUGAGAUGGUUCGAUUAGUAUUAAGAAAAGAAUACCCAUAGGUCUAAUACAGGAGGGGAGCAAGCCUAAGACCAGGAGACGAUUAUUCUAGGUUAAAAAAGAACAGGAGCUUAACCCAGGAUAAUGGCAGUGAUGUGGAAGAGCAUUGACAGGACCUAAUACAGACAAUAUGAAGGAACUUUACCCUCAAGAUGCUCCUGUGAUUUUAAGGGCUAGUAUCUAGAAGGACAAUGAUGGCAUCAACCAGAGGAGGCUUAAUGAAUGGCAGAUGACAACUUGGUGGCUAAAAGAAAAAUAACCUUAAGCGUCUUGGUCAAACAGUAUGGUGAAAUCAAUAUUCACACUAUCUACAACAUGUCCUGACUUACCAGUCUAACAGUCCACCAGGAAAGAAAUGAGGUGAGCUUAGCUUCAUUCCCAUUGACUUUAGUGAUCUUUCUUUUUUUCAAUCUUCAAUGACCAACUAUUCCAUUCUCCAGAAUUUUACUAGAAGUUUUCUGAAGAUUGAUAGAAUAGUCACUGGUUUGUAGAUUUCCAAAAUCCACUUAAUUCUCCUUUUUAAAAAAUUAAGUGAUCUAUAAAUUUCCAGUCCUCUGGUCUGACUCCUUUUCUAUAGGAUACCCCUAUCACCACCAACAGUGGCUUUGCAAUAUAUAUCCAAGUCUCUGCAGUACUGUAGGGUGGCUCAUUGGCUGGGUCACACCUAAAACCCACCCCAACUUCAUCAUCAUCGAGCAACUGGUUUCAGUGUGAAGGUCGCUGCCUUUGAUGGCAACAGUAAAGUAAGAAUGGGUUUCCUCUUUGCACACCACCAGACCCAAGCAAUAAGUCUAUUCUUUCAUCAUUCUUAUGCAAAUGAAGAAGUUGGUCUAGAGUUUAAAUUCUACUGCUUUCCCUUUUAAGAACCACCUCCUCCCCAAAUGAUGCUCACUGGUCAUUGCACACUGUAGCUUCUGGUUGUUGUAACAUCCAAGAUAUAUCCCUUAGAGUCCUAUUCAAAAGCUGUAACUGCCUGUGGUGGCAGAAAAAUGGUCCCCUACAGAUGUCUACAUCCUAGUCCCCAGAAUGUGCAAGUGUUAGCAUACAUGGUAAAGAGAAAUUAAGGUUGCAGAUGGAAUUAGGUUGCUAAUCAGCUAACCUUAAAAUACGGAGAGUAUCCUGGAUUAUCCAGGGGUGCUUACUCACAAACCAUAGUGCAAGGAGGAUUUGUAAGAGAGAGACAGAAAAAUAGCAGCAGGAGGAUUCAGCUCCAUAUUGCUGGAUUCAAAGAUGAAAGAAGCCACAAGCCAAGGAGUGCAGAGAGCUUGUAGAAGCUCAAAAAGGCAAUGGAACAGAUUCUUUGCUAGAGCCUCCAGAAGGAAAGCAGUCCUACCAACACCUUGAUUUUAGCCCCAGCGGAUGCAUCUCAGACCUGUGGCCUCCACAACUGAGAGAUAAUAAAUUUCUGUUGUUCUGAGGCAACAGGUUUAUGGUAAUUUGUAUGGCAGCAAUAGGUAACUAGUAGCCACUGAAUGAUUGUCAGGUUUGUGCUGUCAUUCAUUCUACCCAGUUCUGCACACCAAUGCUGCUUUCAAGCACUGCCUUACUCACCUCUCCAUACUAUAAAACAAACACUUCACUGGCUUACAUUGAGUGGUAGGCACUUUAAUUUUUGUUGCUUUUUCUUUAAAAAAAAAAAAAGUAUAGAAGACCAAAAAAAGAUUACACCAAAAAAAGGAUAACAGUGGUUAUCCUAGUGGUGAUAUACUGUGUGGGUUUUAUUUGCUUUUGCAGCAAGGCAGAAAAAAGUGUUUUCAAGAUUUCCUUUAGAAAGGGUGCUGUUUUCAUUUGGGACUAUUCCGAGAUGUCUCUUGGGACAGAGAGAAGACAUAGGAGGGAUACACCAGCAAGAUCCAAAAAAUUAAAAGAACUGGUUACUAACAGCCCUGCUAUGCCUAGCUCCUGGUUCCUAUGCCAGUGGUUUCCCUAUUCCCACCUUUGUAAACAGUCUCUCUAUUAAAGCCUACUCAAAUUAGCUUAAUUUAAGUGUGCCCUUGGUUUCCUCUUGGGACCCUGGCUGGUACUGUGACCUAGUACACAAGCACGCGUGCACACACACAUGCACACACACACACACACACCUCGAAACAAAAGUUUCAAGAAAACUUUCUACUCUGUUAUGUCCACCCUGCCUUAAAUGUGAUACGGACUAAAAAACAAAUACAGGAAUUUAGGUCUGGGGAAGAGAGAAAAGGUGGGGGUCAAGCAGGGAAGUUGGGCAGAGAAGAAAAUAGAAACUGGUAAAGCAAUAAUGCAAGGUUGUCAAAUAGCUCCAAAGAACAAGCACAUCUAAUAUUCAAUUUGAAGUGAUUUUGCUCAAACUUAAGCUUCUUCCAUCUCCCAAACCUUAAGUGAAAUGUGCUCUAAGUACAAAUGCUUGCAUGCAUGGAUGUGGGUACUUGUUUGUUUGUUAAAAACGGCAGAGAAAAUCGAGUCAAGGAACAAGAGGUUCACUUCCAGGUCUACGUAGACAUGUCCAUGGUCUGGAGGCAGAGGCACCACAAAAAGAGUGUCAGGUUCCCACAAGCUGUGUAUUGGGGUUUCACUCAACCUAUCAAGACACUGAAAGUAGCUCUCCCCAGCUGACACCUGGAUAUACUUCUCCCUUGUUUAUAUGAAAUUUUCUAUAAUAAAUAUGCCUUACUUUUAUAAAGAGAAAAAUAAGCUUUUCUAAACAUUUGUUCGAAUUGAACAAUGUCAAAGGCAUGUGCUAUAUGCCUGGUGUAAUGCUAGGCAUUCUUGUGAGCUUGAGGCCAUUCUAAUGCCCUUCUUUGGCCUCAAGAAGUUUAUAUUUUCCCCUAAAACAAGGACAGGCAAUUGUAUUUUGCUACUGGACUUGGUUCAAAAGAAUUGGGAGAAUUAAGAGUCAUUGUGAGGAGCUGAUAUAAACACUAAAAAGGUAGUGUGAGUUGAUGAAGGCAGAUUCUCUGAUAUAUAUACAUAUAUAGUCUAGACUUAGGACCAGCAGAGGGGCUGGUCCAGAAAACCAAGUUGUUUGAACAAGUAAUUAACAGUAACCAGAGUCCCAGCUGACUCACAUGCCCACACUCAUGUCAUGUCCUGGCUCUUUCCCCUAGCCUGCCUGCCCUACCUGUUUUAAGGAAUAUCCAAGUAUUGUAACAGCGAUAUUCCUCACCUCAUCUUUUAGAGAGAGAGAAGGGACACAGGAUCUUGCUGCACAGCUGUACUGUACAAAUUCCCUGCUUUCUCAACUAACAGGAAGUAUUUGUUCCCUUGGGAGGAAGGGGGAAAACAGAAAACAAAAAACAGCAUCUUUGAAAGCAUAUCUUUUCUGAGGUACAUUUAAAUCAGGUUAACUUUUAUUUAGUUUGCUGGAUUUGGGGUCAGAUUUUCUUGCCUUAAUUUUUUAACAAGUGCAAAUGUUUUUUGAUGCAUAUAGUACAGAGGGACUAAUUAUACUCUUUACCACAGUGGACAAUAAGGGAUUUACUGACCUAGAGUUCAGCUCAGAAAAACUGAUCAUGGUACAGAGUCAGAGGCUACUUGAGCUGAAUGGACAGUGGUUUCCAGGCUGCAUUCUGAAACCUCAGAUUCUACAGAGGCAUCUCAGGGUCAAGUGUGAGAAUAACAGAAAGGGUUAUGGGCUCCCCCAUCUCACUUCAAAUGGAGCUAUUUGAGGUUCUGCAUGAGAUUUCAUUGGAAAUCAAAAAGGGAUCGGUUUCCUGCUGCUUAAAAAAUCUAUAAACCACUGAUUCUCACUUUACUUUCUUAUUCCCCAGCUGGAAAACAUUGGGCCCCAAGAAAACAGGAGACUUACCCAGGAUCAUCCUGCUAAUUGGUAAUAGAAUGAGGGUAAAAUCUCAAAGGAGACUGAUACAAAUAGAGAAAAAUCACAGUCAUAUCAGUGAUUUUGAUUUUUUUUCAGCUUUUGAGCAUGAGAUAUCUAAAAAGGUAAGAGAUUUAGAUGAGUUAAGGAGUUAGUAGAUCAAAGAAAGAAAAAGGCCAGUACUCCUGAUUUCAUUCAUUC
rnacentral:lncRNA from 1 species